rnacentral:misc_RNA from 1 species
GCUCACCCCAAAUACGGCUACUCGUACUCAGUAGAAGACCCCCAUACUGGUGACCAUAAAUCCCAUCACGAAAACCGCGACGGUGACGUAGUCAAGGGCGAAUACUCUUUUCUUCAGCCUGAUGGCUCUUUCCGCAAGGUGACUUACACUGCUGACCAUCAUAAUGGAUUCAACGCUGUCGUCCACAACUCGCCUCCAGUCAUCCAUCAUCAUUAGAGCUUGUCAACUGAACUGUGAUAUUAGUGUAGAUAAUUUAGUUCUCUAGAUAAGCUUAUAAAUACCAGUGUAUUCUUCGUGAUCUUCGGCUCUUGUAACUUUUGCUUUAUUAUUAAUAAAAUGUAUGAUGGGUUUCAUUAAUACAUAAUAUCAACAUGGUGUAAUGGUUCUCGAAAAAAUUUAUCAGAUGAUUCUCAAUUUAAACAUUUGUUUAUUUGAUGCAAUAUUGUUACACCUGCCAAAAUAUGUAAGAAUUUUAAUGAGUGUGUUUUUUGAAUGUUUUGUGUGGUGAUAUAUUUUAUAUUAUUGUAUGAGUGUAUGUGAAACCCAACACUUUGAAUAAAAUAUCUUUAUACUUUAAA